rnacentral:tRNA from 1 species
GCCCGCGGUGGCUCAGAUGGAUAGAGCGUCUGCCAUGUAAGCAGAAGAUCCCGGGUUCGAGUACCGGUCGGGGCA